UACAGAGGGUGCAAGCGUUAAUCGGAAUUACUGGGCGUAAAGCGUGCGUAGACGGUUAUGUAAGUCGGGUGUGAAAGCCCCGGGCUCAACCUGGGAAUGGCAUUUGAGACUGCAUAGCUAGGGUGCGGAAGAGGGAAGCGGAAUUUCCGGUGUAGCGGUGAAAUGCGUAGAUAUCGGAAGGAACAUCAGUGGCGAAAGCGGCUUCCUGGUCCAGCACCGACGUUCAGGCACGAAAGCGUGGGGAGCAAACAGG
rnacentral:rRNA from 1 species